rnacentral:rRNA from 1 species
AUGUCUGUCGAACUCGUCCUCUGGCUCUUCUCCUUCGCCUCUGUGAUGGCCCUCGUAGGCCUCACCGCCUACCAGCUUAUCUGCUUAUCUGAUUUGGAGUUUGACUAUAUCAAUCCAUAUGAUUCAUCAUCUCGCAUCAAUGCAGUGGUCAUAAUAGAAUACGCACUCCAAGGGGUCCUCUGCGCUUCUUUCCUCUUGACGCUGAAUUGGUUUCCGUUUCUAGUUAUGGCUCCUGUAACAUAUUACCAUGUGAAGCUGUAUAUGAAUCGGAAACAUCUUAUAGAUGUUACUGAGAUAUUCCGACAGUUACAUGGAGAGAAGAAGUACAGGAUGAUCAAGCUUGCCUUCUACUUUGCAUUAUUUAUUAUAUCCAUUUACAGGCUUGUCAUGACGGCUGUGCUACUAUUUAUUGAUGAGGAUGUGAAUCUGGUAGAAACUAGGACUAUUUAG